AAUAGUUCUGCGCAAAGAAGAAAUGGCAGAUUCGAAGAAAACUAAGAGGACCUGGCAGGUUUCCUAAAAUAGGAAGGAACAACCAUAUUCAUAAGGAGGGCGUAUGUUAUGAGGAAGCGAGGGUACACUUGGGUGCAUCAAGCCAGCUCAUUGGUAUAUAUGCAGAAAAACAGCCAUAACUGAGGAAUGAAGCCAUGGAUCACAAUACAGUAAAGCUCGUCAUUGUCACCAGUGUCACCUGCAAUACAAGCCUAUAUCAACAGCUUCGCUACUCUGCCACCUUUCACAACUGCCUGUAGGAAGAGAGCAAAGCCGCAGCAGACAUUUGGAGGUAUCAUUCAUGACAGUUUAACCUGUCUAAGAAGCAAGAAGACAAGUCGACAACACAAAGCGGGAUUGACCAGAAAUGGACCAGAAAUGAAACAGGAUGAUAAAGAGUCCUUCACAACCCUGAGACUUUUCAGGCAUGGCUGGAGCCAAGGGGUUUAGUGCUCACUGUUACUUAACCUUUAUAAGGACUGGAAACCUGUGACCCACAGCUAGAGCAGUGAGACACAGGAGCGGAGCAUCGGCCAGGAAGAAGACACUGGACAUCCAGAGAGGCGAGCCAUAAACUCUUUGCUUUUAUUUCAGUUCACAUUCAAUGGUACUAAUCUUUGGCAUUUCAGACUAAAAUAAGUGACAUGGCACUUUUUUGUAUGACAAAUCUUUUUUCGGGGUGCAGACAAAAUCCUAAAAUAAAUGUCCAUUGCUGGAAAACAGGUCAGUAGAAAUCUCACACACGUGUGUGGGAUGAGGCUAGCCAUCAAAUUGAUUUAGAUUUCAGAACAGAAAUGCAUUCAGUGUAAAUGGGUCCGGUAGCUGCAGCAAAUACACAAACAAUCUGC